rnacentral:rRNA from 1 species
UGCCAUAUUAAUAAGCGGAGGAAAAGAAACCAACAGGGAUUGCCUCAGUAACGGCGAGUGAAGCGGCAAAAGCUCAAAUUUGAAAUCCCCCCGGGGAGAGUUGUAAUUUGAAGAUUGCGUCUUGGAGGCGACCCGUGUUUAUGUUCCUUGGAACAGGACGUCACAGAGGGUGAGAAUCCCGUGCGGCACGGCCCCCGGCUCCUUAUAAGGCGCUCUCGACGAGUCGAGUUGUUUGGGAAUGCAGCUCAAAGUGGGUGGUAAAUUCCAUCUAAAGCUAAAUACAGGCGAGAGACCGAUAGCGAACAAGUACAGUGAUGGAAAGAUGAAAAGCACUUUGAAAAGAGAGUGAAACAGCACGUGAAAUUGUUGAAAGGGAAGG